rnacentral:ncRNA from 1 species
AGGAGGUUUUAUUUAUGCUUAAAAACUCAGUUUUUUCUUGUGGUAUAUGCUUGAUUUUUAAAUUGGGUUUUUGCAGUACUUGGAAUUUUAUAUUGGGGCAAUCCUGAUUAAGCAAUGAUAGAGAGUUUUGACAAAAUUUGUGCCAGCAGUUGCGGUUAUACAAAUAAUGCAAUUGAGUUUUAUUAGGGAGAAUUAAGUUUUUGUUUUUAGAUUAUAGUUUAACUUUUAAGGUAGAAUUUUAAGUUAUUAAAGGUCUUUUUUGCGAUUAUUUUAGAUUUUUUGUUAGACUAGGAUUAGAUACCCUAUUAUUUUAAAUGUAAAUUUGUUCCUUGAUUAGUAUUAGUUGAUUUCUUGAAAAUUAAAUGAUUUGGCGGUAUUCUAUCUAUUUAGAGGAACCUGUUCCGUAAUCGAUGGUCCACGAUUAAAUUUACUUGCAUUAUUAGUUUGUAUAUCGUCGUUUUUGAAGAUUUUAUUAGAAUUAUUUUCCUGAGUUUUUUGUAAAGGAGGUCAGAUCAAGGUGCAGCUUAUAUGUAGGAGGUAAUGGGUUACAAUAGCUUUAGUUAUAUGGAUUUUUUUUUGUAAUAUUGAUUUGAAGGUGGAUUUAAAAGUAAAUUUUUUUAUAUAGAAUAAUUGAUAUAGGAAUAGGAUAUGCACAUAUCGCCCGUCGCUCUCGAUAAAUUUGAGAUAAGUCGUAACAGAGUAGGCGUACUGGAAAGUGUGCCUGGAUUGAU